rnacentral:rRNA from 1 species
CUAGCGACUUCAGAGUUUGAUCCUGGCUCAGGACGAACGCUGGCGGCGUGCCUAACACAUGCAAGUCGAACGAAGCUUGAUCACGGAUCUCUUCGGAGUGAAGUGUGAUAUGACUGAGUGGCGGACGGGUGAGUAACGCGUGAGUAACCUGCCUUUCAGAGGGGGAUAACAGUUGGAAACGACCGCUAAUACCGCAUAACGUAUCGGAACCGCAUGAUUCUGAUACCAAAGCUGAGGCGCUGAAAGAUGGACUCGCGUCUGAUUAGAUAGUUGGUGGGGUAACGGCCUACCAAGUCGACGAUCAGUAGCCGGACUGAGAGGUUGAUCGGCCACAUUGGGACUGAGACACGGCCCAG